rnacentral:rRNA from 1 species
AUUUGCUGAAGCGAGGCCAUCUGGUCACGAGUCAGUACCCGAAUUUCUUGACGACCAUAGAGCAUUGGAACCACCUGAUCCCAUCCCGAACUCAGUAGUGAAACGAUGCAUCGCCGAUGGUAGUGUGGGGUUUCCCCAUGUGAGAGUAGGUCAUCGUCAAGA